UUGACAACAUAUCACACACAAUAAUAUUCUCACAAAACAAAACUCGAUUUGUAACUCAGAGUAUUUCCACUCAUAUCCCACAAGCACCACCAUGGCUCCACCUAAAGAAAUUGCGACCAUCAUUUAUCACAAUGAUCACAUAGCAGACGACCCAGUUCAGGGAUCGAUGUACACAUGUGCGAACCCAAUAUUUAUUUACGUUUGUCGUUCUAUUACAUUAACACGAUUGAUUUGGAAAAUUAACAACCGUCUCCCUACUCGAACAACUGAAAAAGUUGCUCAAUAUUUAUUUCUUGUCCCUAUUUCGUUUCAUCAGGGUCAAACACAUUAUAUUUCAGCAUAACUACUCGACACUGACGAUCUUAGAGGCACGAUGGAAAUAAUUCUCCAGAUUCCAUAAUUAAAUUCUGUUGAAUUCUAUGUUGUUACUGACCUUAUUUGGAAUUUAAUUGUGUUGAAUUUUGUUGAAUUCUCAAUUCCAAAUAAGGUCAGUAACAACAUAGAAUUGAACAGAAUUUAAUUGUGGAUUCUGGAGAAUUUUUUCCAUCGCACCUCUGAGAUCGUCAAUGUCGAGUAGUUAUGCUGAAAUAUAAUGUGUCUGACCUGAUGAAAUGAAAUAGGGACACGAAAUAACAAUUGAGCAACUUUUUUAGUUGUUCGAGUAGGGAGAUAGUUGUUAAUUUUCUGAAUCAAUCGUGUUAACGUAAUAGAAUGACAUACAUAAAUAAAUAUUGGGUUUGCACAUGUGUACACCGAUCACUGAACUGGGUCGUCUGCUAUGUGACCAUUGUGAUAAAUGACGGUCGCAAUUUCUUUAGGUGGAGCCAUGGUAGUGCUUGUGGGAUAUGAGUGGAAAUACUGUGAGUUACAAAUCGAGUUUUGUUUUGUGAGAAUAUUAUUGUGUGUGAUAUGUUGUCAAAUGGUGAGAUUAUAUAUAGGCUGAGAAAGUUUAGUACUUAGGUGGCAAAGUUAGGUAGGAGAGUUAGAUUGGAAGGUUAGGUGAGAGGGUUAGGUGGGAGGGAUAUGUGACAAAGUUAGGUAGGAGAGUUAGGUGGGAGGGAUAGGUGCAAAGUUAGGUAGAAGAGUUAGGUGAGAGACAUAGGUAUGAUAUUCAGUGCAUGUGAGUGAAUAUUGUACAACUACGGAACAGUGUACACAUGUGAGUGAACAGUGUACAAUACCACACAUUAAUGUACAUGACAGACUACUCGUUGCAUCAUGAGUGUUGACUGCGGUGUUUCGCAUCACGCGCCGAGCUCACGCGGCUUGUUGAGAACCACGUUAAUAGGGCAAAUGUACACAUGUGAGUGAACUAUGUCGAGCAUCAACAGAGGUGGAUAAAGUUAUGGGUAGUUGUGCCAUACUAUUACGGUCAUGGGCUUGGUACCGCAUGUCUUUUAUUGCACCAAGAGUCCCACGACCCGAAACAACUUAUUCGCUGGCUAAAAGAUGGAGUGGUGGUAGAUUAAAAUAUAGGGUCAUACCUCAUGUCAUGGUGACUUGGUCAGAUAUAGAUCUCGUAUAGAUCAUAUGGAGAGCCAUGAGUUUUCUUGGGUCCCAUAUAGAGGAUUUGAAGAACAGCUACCGAGACAUGCAUACAAAGACAUGGAGAUUUGAUCUGCAUGUACUGCAAUUAUUUGUUUUCCGAUUAUGGAAUGACAUCAAACAAACCGGGUCAAGCUACAAUUUGGACUACAAGAAGAUAUCCCUGUUGAUCCCAUGAAUCUUGAUCGACUUCACCAAAUUGACAUGUGAGACGAUUAUUACAGUGAUUGGAUGGAAUAUCAUGUGGAGUGGAUUAAUAUCUAACAAAACAAACGCAAUAAUGUUUUAACUAGGCAAUAGGUUGAAGGAAUAGUGACACAUACACUAGCAUACAUAGAAUGGUAUAGGAAAAACACUAUUUUGUUCUUGUCUGUUGCACAACAACUAAAUGAUCCACGCACAACAAUUACCCAUAAUGUUGCAGGGACAAGUGUUGAACAAAAACAUUUUGAAAUUCCACAUCCUUAGUCAAUGUAUUGUACUCCUUCACCUGUUCAUCAAACUUUUGGCCAGACUGACGAGUAAGUUAGCGUAACCAGCCAUGAAUGGAUGACCAAUUUAUUUGGCGUCAAUUUGAAUACACCAAAUUCCGUGGCAUCAUAUUUAGCUUCUUUACAACAGUUCGAUGCACCACAUUCGCUUGGACAACAAGGAAAAAGUUCUUAUGUUGCAGCAAACCACAUUGAAUAUACUGACAUAGAACAACAACAUCAUCAUGACAUGGGAGAACCAGUCAUACAGGAAAGAAGAAAUCACCGCUUGUGGGACUGGUCAUUGUCUUGGUCAUUGAAGUAUAGAACAUUGUGAUGAUGGGAUCAAAUAUGUUUAAGUACCCCUGUAAUGGUUUCAUCAAGCAAGACCUCAAAUUAAGAGUAAAAAAAGUAUGAUUUGGACCCUUGCAAAUA